AAUGGGCGAAAGCCUGAUCCAGCCAUGCCGCGUGUGUGAAGAAGGUCUUCGGAUUGUAAAGCACUUUAAGUUGGGAGGAAGGGCAGUAAGUUAAUACCUUGCUGUUUUGACGUUACCAACAGAAUAAGCACCGGCUAACUUCGUGCCAGCAGCCGCGGUAAUACGAAGGGUGCAAGCGUUAAUCGGAAUUACUGGGCGUAAAGCGCGCGUAGGUGGUUUUGUAAGUUGGAGGUGAAAUCCCCGGGCUCAACCUGGGAACUGCCUCCAAAACUGCAUGACUAGAGUACGGUAGAGGGUAGUGGAAUUUCCUGUGUAGCGGUGAAAUGCGUAGAUAUAGGAAGGAACACCAGUGGCGAAGGCGACUACCUGGACUGAUACUGACACUGAGGUGCGAAAGCGUGGGGAGCAAA
rnacentral:rRNA from 1 species